rnacentral:rRNA from 1 species
UACGUAGGGUGCAAGCGUUGUCCGGAAUUAUUGGGCGUAAAGAGCUCGUAGGCGGCUUGUCACGUCGACUGUGAAAACCCGGGGCUCAACUCCGGGCCUGCAGUCGAUACGGGCUGGCUUGAGUGCGGUAGGGGAGACUGGAAUUCCUGGUGUAGCGGUGAAAUGCGCAGAUAUCGGGAAGAACACCCGUGGCGAAGGCGGUUCUCUGGGACGGUACUGACGCUGAGACGCGAAAGCGUGGGGGGCGAACAGG